rnacentral:rRNA from 1 species
AGAGUUUGAUCAUGGCUCAGGAUGAACGCUGGCGGCGUGCCUCAUACAUGCAAGUCGAACGCUUUGUGCUUAAUUGAUAUGAUGAGCUUGCUCUGAUUUGAUUUUUUGAUUUCAAAGAGUGGCGAACGGGUGAGUAACACGUGGGUAACCUACCUCUUAGCAGGGGAUAACAUUUGGAAACAAGUGCUAAUACCGUAUAAUACCAACAACCGCAUGGUUGUUGGUUGAAAGAUGGUUCUGCUAUCACUAAGAGAUGGACCCGCGGUGCAUUAGCUAGUUGGUAAGGUAAUGGCUUACCAAGGCAAUGAUGCAUAGCCGAGUUGAGAGACUGAUCGGCCACAAUGGGACUGAGACACGGCCCAUACUCCUACGGGAGGCAGCAGUAGGGAAUCUUCCACAAUGGGCGCAAGCCUGAUGGAGCAACGCCGCGUGUGUGAUGAAGGGUUUCGGCUCGUAAAACACUGUUAUAAGAGAAGAACGGCACUGAGAGUAACUGUUCAGUGUGUGACGGUACCUUACCAGAAAGGAACGGCUAAAUACGUGCCAGCAGCCGCGGUAAUACGUAUGUUCCAAGCGUUACCCGGAUUUAUUGGGCGUAAAGCGAGCGCAGACGGUUAUUUAAGUCUGAAGUGAAAGCCCUCAGCUCAACUGAGGAAUUGCUUUGGAAACUGGAUGACUUGAGUGCAGUAGAGGAAAGUGGAACUCCAUGUGUAGCGGUGAAAUGCGUAGAUAUAUGGAAGAACACCAGUGGCGAAGGCGGCUUUCUGGACUGUAACUGACGUUGAGGCUCGAAAGUGUGGGUAGCUAUACAGGAUUAGAUACCUCUGGUAGUCCACACCGUAAACGAUGAGUGCUAGAUGUUCGAGGGUUUCCGC